UACGGGGGGGGCAAGCGUUGUUCGGAAUUACUGGGCGUAAAGGGCUCGUAGGCGGCCAACUAAGUCAGACGUGAAAUCCCUCGGCUUAACCGGGGAACUGCAUCUGAUACUGGAUGGCUUGAGUUCGGGAGAGGGAUGCGGAAUUCCAGGUGUAGCGGUGAAAUGCGUAGAGAUGUGGAGGAACACCGAUGGCGAAGGCAGCCCCCUGGGCUGAGAUUGACGCUCAGGCACGAAAGCGUGGGGAGCAAACAGG
rnacentral:rRNA from 1 species